AUUGAACGCUGGCGGCAGGCUUAACACAUGCAAGUCGAGCGGGGUGAUGGUGCUUGCACUAUCACUUAGCGGCGGACGGGUGAGUAAUGCUUAGGAAUCUGCCUAUUAGUGGGGGACAACAUCUCGAAAGGGAUGCUAAUACCGCAUACGUCCUACGGGAGAAAGCAGGGGAUCACUUGUGACCUUGCGCUAAUAGAUGAGCCUAAGUCGGAUUAGCUAGUUGGUGGGGUAAAGGCCUACCAAGGCGACGAUCUGUAGCGGGUCCGAGAGGAUGAUCCGCCACACUGGGACUGGGACACGGCCCAGACUCCUACGGGGGGCAGCAGUGGGGAAUAUUGGACAAUGGGGGGAACCCUGAUCCAGCCAUGCCGCGUGUGUGAAGAAGGCCUUAUGGUUGUAAAGCACUUUAAGCGAGGAGGAGGCUCUUUUGGUUAAUACCCAAGAUGAGUGGACGUUACUCGCAGAAUAAGCACCGGCUAACUCUGUGCCAGCAGCCGCCGUAA
rnacentral:rRNA from 1 species